AUGUUGUCGUUACUUUCGACUUCCUCAUCCAUUUCUAGAAAGAAAUACGAUGUUUUCUUGAGUUUUAGAGGUGAAGAUACCCGCAAGAACUUUACGGAUCAUCUCUACGAUGCUCUAAAUAGAAGUGGGAUUGUCACUUUUAGAGACGAUCCAAAGUUGGAGGCCGGUGAAGAGAUCGCACCGGAACUCUUCAAAGCAAUUCAGCAAUCAUGGUGCUCGGUAAUCGUUUUUUCGGAGACCUAUGCCUUUUCAGGUUGGUGCUUGGAGGAGCUUGCGGAGAUUGUUAAACAGAAAAAUGACAAGCGUCAUAAAGUAUUUCCAAUUUUCUAUGACGUGGAUCCAUCCGAUUUAAGAAAAAAGAAGGGAAAAGUUGAAGAAGCCUUCGCCAAACACGAAGAAAGAUACAAGAAAGAUAAAGACAAGAUCCAAAAGUGGCGAAAUGCUUUGACUGAAGUGGCUAACAUCUCGGGAUGGCAUUUAAAUAAUAGGCAUGAAUCAGAGUUUAUCAGAGACAUUGUUAAGAAGAUAUCAGCAAAAUUAGAUCAGAUAUAUCCAAUUGAUCAUGAUCAUGAUGAGUUAAUUGGAAUUAGUUUACGUUUGGAGGAGUUGUAUUCGAAAAUAAACAUUGGGGAAGAUGAUGUCCGCAUCAUAGGAAUUUGCGGAAUGGGUGGCAUCGGUAAAACAACUCUUGCAAAGGUUGUUUGCUCUCAAAUAUCAUCUCAUUUUGAAGGUAAAUGCUUUCUUGCUGAUAUUCGAGAAGUUUCAAACAAACAUGGACUUGUUUCUUUACAGAAACAACUUCUUUCUCAAAUCGUGCCAGAUGAAUGCCUCAACUUUUUCAAUGUUCAUGAAGGGAAUGCCAAAAUUAGCCGUAGAUUGUCUAGCAAAAAAGUUCUUGUUGUUCUUGAUGAUGUUGAUAGCGUACAACACUUGAAAUGCUUGGUUGGAAGACGUGAUUGGUUCAAUUUAGGGAGUAGGAUCAUUGUAACAACAAGAGAUGAACAAUUGCUCCGAUCUUAUCGAAUCGAUGAUGUGUAUAAGCCUACAACAUUGAAUCUAAACGAUGCACAUAGGCUUUUCAAUUUGAAAGCUUUUGAUAGUGAUACAGUACUAAAAGAUGAUUUUAUUGAGCUCUCUAAACAUGUUGUACGUUACGCUGGUGGUCUCCCCUUAGCUCUUGAAAUCUUGGGUUCUUUUUUGUACGGUAGAGAUUUAGCUCAAUGGAGAAGUGCAAUUGAAAGACUUAAACAAGAUUCUAACAAAGAAAUUCUUGACACACUAAGAAUCAGCUUUGAUGGACUGGAAGAAAGGGAAAAGAAUAUAUUUCUAGAUAUAGCAUGCUUUUUCAACGGGGAGAAGAAAGAUUUGGUAAUGAAAGUAUUAGAUGGUUGUGAUUUUUUUCCGGAUAUUGGAAUCGAUGUUCUCAUUAAGAAAUCUCUCAUAAAAGUUAGUGAUGACAACCAAUAUUUGCGGAUGCAUGCCUUAUUGCAAGAAAUGGGAAGAAAAAUUGUUGAAGAAAAAUGUGUUGAUGAACUUGGAAAACGUUGUAGAUUGUGGAAGGAAAGGGAUGUCCAUCAUGUUCUAGUAAAAAACACGGCAACCAAAGUGAUUGAAGGCAUGAUCAUCGACAAUAAAAGGGAAUCGAACAAUAUGCUCAAUUUGAGUGCGGAUACCUUCUCGAAGAUGAAAAAAUUGAGAUUGCUCAAAGUGCUUUGCCAAUCAAAUUGUGACGAUCUCAAAUAUCUCUCUAAUGAACUACGACUUUUAGAUUGGACAGGAUAUCCUUUAAGAUACUUGCCUUCAAGCUUCCAACCAGACAACCUUGUCACACUUCUUUUAAUAUAUAGUCACAUUGAACAACUAUGGAAAGGAAAUAGACCUUUGUAUAAGUUGAAAAUGAUCAACCUCAAAGGGUCCCGAAACCUGAUCAAGACACCAGACUUCACAACAGCACCAAAACUUGAAGUUUUGAUAAUGGAAGGUUGUACCAGAUUAGUAGAUGUCCAUCCAUCAACCGGAGUGCUUAAGAGCCUUAAACUUUUAAAUUUAAGAGGCUGCACAAGUCUUAAGAGUUUUCCGAUUAAAAUUGGAAUGGAAUCUCUUGAAACAUUAAAUCUUUCGGGUUGCUCAAAUCUUGUUAGGUUUCCGGAGAUUGACGGGAAAAUGGAAUGUCUAAAAACACUUGAUCUUUCUGGUUGUUCUAGAGUUGAAAAUUUGCCAGAGAAUUUGCAGCAAGUAGAGUUUUUGGAAGAGCUUGACUUGAGUGGAACAGCCAUAACAGAGCCACCAUCCUUCAUUUUUCAAUUGAAAAAUCUUAAAAUUCUGUCUUACUAUGGGUGCAAAGGACCAUCAUCUAAGUUACGAUUAAAUUGGGCUUCUCUUUUAAAGGUAAUCCAGAAAGAAAGGACAAAUUCUGUGCCUCGGAUGUUGCCUUUGUUGUCAAGUUUGAGUUCUUUAAGAGAAUUGAAGCUAAGGGACUGCAAUCUUUGUGAAGGAGAUAUUCCUAAUGAUAUUUCUGGUUUAUCCUCUUUGGAAUUCCUUGAUCUUAGUGGUAACAAUUUCAUCAACAUACCUGCAUCUCUUACUGGACUCUCAAAGCUUGAUUCUCUUAAAUUGUCAAAUUGCAACAUGUGCACUCUUGGUGAAGCAGAUAUUCAUGGUCUAUCCUCUUUGAGAUAUCUUUUUGUUGGGGGUAACAAUUUCAUCACCAUUCCUUUGGCUCUGACUCAACUUUCCAGGCUUAAAUUGCUUGCAUUAUCAAAUUGCAUGACGCUUAACUCGUUGCCUGAGCUACCAACAAGUAUAGAAGAUGUGUGGCUAGAUGGUUGUUCUUCACUUGAAGUAGUUGCAAGUCCAUCAAAAGUAUGCAAUUUAGUGGAUUCGGCUGCUAUUAAAGCCUUUAACUGCUUCAAAUUGGCUGAGAAUAUCAAUGCAUUAACACUGCUGAGAAAACAUCUUAAGGCAUUUGCAAAUUCAAGAAAAAUGUUUGAUAUUAUCAUGCCAGGAAGUGAAAUCCCAGAAUGGUUUAGCCAACAAAAAAGUGACUUCUUUAUUAAGAUUCCCUUACCUAUCAGCCUUCAAGAAGAUAGUGAAUGGAUUGGAGUUGCUUGCUGCUGCAUUUUUGUCAAUAAUGAUGCUCCAAGGGAUGUGAGCUUUAUCGACUGUGGAGCGUUAAUGUAUGGUAGAAAUCCUCGACAGAUUGAGAGGAGAGGCUGGUUGGUGGGUAAACGAUUCAACAUGCCAAUAAUGAAAGAUCACAUUUUUCUUCGUUAUUGGUCGCGUGAUAAAUUAUAUCCAUUUUCCUUGGAGGAUAAAUAUGGUGGCUGUGAAACCAAUAAUAUAAGGACAACAGAUUGCUUAAAUCAUAAACGUGAUGGGCUUCAUGUGUUUUUCAAUGGUCAUAGCCUUAAGGUGAAGAAGUGUGGUGUUAGAAUAGUGUAUGAGAAAGAUUUGGAAGAAAUAAAAGAGUUACAGUGCCAUACCACUCAAUCUUCACCAAAUUUUGAACACAUCCACCAACACUCUGCUCACAACGAUGGAUCAGUAGGUAGCACUUCUGACAUAAAACAAAAACGUAAUAUCUCUGAGGAAGCAGAGGAAGAAGGGCUGCAACCAAAACUGAUGCAAAAAUUUUUCAAUUUUAUAAUGGGCCAAUCAGGGAAGAAGCAUUAACUGUGGUUGAAAUAAAUAUAAUCAAUUUGAGAUAGAAAUGUAGAGAAAAUGGAUAGUUUCCGUGACAAAGCAGGCUAAUAGAAGUAUGAAAGUUUACUAAAAGGAUGAUGCAAGUGAGGGACCAACAAAAGUCUUCAAGUUGAAAUGAAAGUGGACACUUUAGCAAGUAUAGGGUCGGAUGAAUUUAGAGAAAUAGAUUAUGUUAUUACAUAAUUAGUUGUUUUUUACAUGUAAAUUAUAGUAUUUUAAAUCAACUUUUGAAUUUGUUGCUUGUAUAAUGUAAAUUCAAAUAGUAAUUUAAUUGUAAUGUAAAUAAAACCUUUUAAAUUAGGCAUAAUGACAAAAAGUUCUUAGUGUUUAUGAAA